GGAGGGUGCGAACGUUGCUCGGAUUUACUGGGGCGUAAAGCGCGUGUAGGCGGACUCGCAAGUCGGUUGUGAAAUCCCUGGGGCUCAACCUAGGGAACUGCAUCCGAAACUGCUUGUCUUGAGUAAUGGAGAGGGUGGCGGAAUUCCCGGUGUAGAGGUGAAAUUCGUAGAUAUCGGGAGGAACAUCAGUGGCGAAGGCGGCCACCUGGACAUUUACUGACGCUGAGACGCGAAAGCGUGGGGAGCAAACAGGAUUAGAUACCCUGGUAGUCCACGCCGUAAACGAUGAGCAUUAGGUGCAGCGGAUAUUGACCUCUGCUGUGCCGUAGCUAACGCGUUAAAUGCUCCGCCUGGGGAGUACGGCCGCAAAGGCUAA
rnacentral:rRNA from 1 species